rnacentral:other from 1 species
GUCUGGAUGUGCUGGUGGAUGCAGGGGCCUCCUGGGAACUGGGUUGGAGCCUAGCUAGUGCUAGCCAGGCACAAGCCCACACAGAGAGCCACACGAGGACCCACCCAUAGCCUACCACUGAAUCCCCGGCAGCCAACAGGAGAUGUUGAAGAUAACAAAGGGGAAGAUGAAGAGGAAGACAUUGACUUGGUCACAGUGGAAAAGUGGUGUGCCUCCUUCAACAGCAAUGCUGUCACCAACUUCACCAUC